AUUGAACGCUGGCGGCAUGCUUUACACAUGCAAGUCGAACGGUAACAGGCCUUCGGGUGCUGACGAGUGGCGAACGGGUGAGUAAUGCAUCGGAACGUGCCCAGAGGUGGGGGAUAACGCAGCGAAAGCUGUGCUAAUACCGCAUGUGAUCUGAGGAUGAAAGCGGGGGACCAGGCAGCAAUGUUUGGCCUCGCGCCUUUGGAGCGGCCGAUGUCGGAUUAGGUAGUUGGUGGGGUAAAGGCCUACCAAGCCGACGAUCUGUAGCUGGUCUGAGAGGACGACCAGCCACACUGGGACUGAGACACGGCCCAGACUCCUGCGGGAGGCAGCAGUGGGGAAUUUUGGACAAUGGGCGCAAGCCUGAUCCAGCAAUGCCGCGUGCGGGAAGAAGGCCUUCGGGUUGUAAACCGCUUUUGUACGGAACGAAAAGGCUCUGGCUAAUACCUGGGGCUGAUGACGGUACCGUAAGAAUAAGCACCGGCUAACUACGUG
rnacentral:rRNA from 1 species